CUCUGGCUGGUGCUGGGGAGUCGAUACAAAGAGUCCUGUGAUGUGGUUCAUCUUCAGAUCUUUCAGCCACGGAUACCAGCACCUGCUCUGGUGGAGGUAGUAGGGGAGUGAAGUGGAUGCUGUGCAGGUCCUUGAUUGUAUUUUUGUCUAGUUUUCUGGUUUUGUGUUGGUUGGCCUCCAGCCAGGAGGUGGCACUUUCAAGAACACAUCAGCUGCAGUACUGUAAGGAAAAAGCAAAGUUGCCCUAGGCUGGCCUGAGCAUGCCAACAAUGAAGGAUUUCUCAGCGUGAACAAUAUUCUCAGGAGGAAUUCAGGGCUGGAAUUGCCAGGAGUGUUGCAGGCAAAGCUUUCAUUGAGAGGGAAAUGAAGCCAAAGCUCCAUUGCCUAAGUAAAUUAAUUGAUUUAGGAUAUGAGAAAGAAAAGAAAGGGAAAAUUCUGUUAAUACCGACUAUUUAACUCCAUCUGGAAGAGAUGGUUUGAGGCAGCAAGUGUUUGAGAGUUUCCAUCAUAGGUGUUCUUCUCGUUCUUAUCUCUACCCAGAGUGAUUAGUGUUAACUGCUCUGGGGUAUGCAACUGGUUUCUCCCUGCUCAGGCCAUCACGUAUGUUUACAAUUUUUGUUGCUGAAACAUCAAACUCUGUUCCUUAGCAGGCCCCCUGGACUAACUUCUUAGUGAUAUCUGUAGCACUUCUGUAGAAAUAGCAAAUUGAAUCUAGAGUUAAUUUUUGAAAUGAUAUGAAAAUAAAAAGUUCACCUUGGAGAAAUCUAUCUUCUAAAAAUCUACUGGUAUUGACUACAUGUCUGUUGAUGUCUCUUUCACUAUCAGCUGUUUUCCUAUGUCAACUAUAAAAUACCUUUAAACGCUUUAAGAGCUAUUCAGCAGUUGAAAUUGCAGGACAUUACAUGACACUUGU
rnacentral:lncRNA from 10 species